rnacentral:rRNA from 1 species
GAUGUGAAAUCCAAUGGCUCAACCAUUGAACUGCAUUUGAAACUGCUAGACUAGAGUAUGGGAGGGGGAGAUGGAAUUAGUGGUGUAGGGGUAAAAUCCGUAGAUAUCACUAGGAAUACCUAAAGCGAAGGCGAUCUCCUGGAACAUAACUGACGCUAAG